GUUACACUGCCUAGUCCCAGUUGGGACAUCCAAUAUAUGCUGUUUGGCAUCUACUUCAUUUCUAUCCCGUGGAUACUGACGUCAGCUCUGCUUUUUGGUGUGGCAAGCGGCUGCGUUAUUUGGAGCUGUGUGUCCGACGGCAGUGAGGCUUUCCUUCACCGUGUGCUGUGUUAUGCUGUGUGAGCACCACUGAUAAAAUCACGGGUAUUGGAGUGAGUGUGUGUGUGCGUGUGUGCACUUAGUGUGAUUCUCCUCUUUUGCUCCCUCUCUUAGCCCAUCUGAUGCCAAUAGGCUACAGCUCUGAAAUAAAUGUGAAUCCUUAUUGUGGAUUGUGAUUUCCAGCUUUAGUAAUUGGCUGGGUGACUAUUAUUCCUGCAUUUUAA